AUGACGAAGGGAGGGAAGACGGUGGGUGGUUGCGCUAGGGUUUCGGGUAAGAGAAAAACAGGGAGGGAAAGGGAAAGGGAAAGGGAGGGGGUGGGGUGGCCCUUAUGGCCGAGAUUGGAGGAGAAAAGGGAGGGGGUGGGGUGGCCGACGCCGGCGCCGAUGCCUAAGGAAUUCGGCCACCAACAGCCGGAAGCCGGCACAGUAGUAGGGUGGUAGUGGCUGGUGGCAGGCUGGGUUUUUUGUUUUUUUUUUAAAAAUUUUUUAAGGUGUUUUUUAAAUUUUUUUCUUUUUUAAAUAAAUUAAAUUAUUAAAUAAUUAAAUAAUGGGCCCCACUAAUGAAACAUGGAUAGAGGUACCAAAACCUAUAAUUUUACAAUUUGAUGGGUAUCAAUAAAAAAAAUUUAACAGGUACCAAAAUUCAACACCCCCCAUUUUCGAGGUAUCAAAUUCCAAAAUUUCCACAAGUUAAUUUAGUGUAACUCAUGGAAUUAAGGUUGGGAUUAUUUUUCUAGUAACUGUAAUAGGUUUUUCAUUUUUUGAAUUACUUUCACUAGUAGAAUAAAGUAAAUGGGAAGCCCCAAAUGACAAGCGGUUUAUUGAAUUUCGCUUCCAAAAACACCUUACAAAAAUCUAAAACAAGCAAAUGGCAAGCGAUUUUGGGUUAACCACUUGCAAAAUUGUAAACGGCAGGCAGUUUGAACUUUGAACCGCUUGCCAUUUGUAAAAAAAACCCUUAAAAAUCUUACCCCUCCUUCUUCUCUUUCACCUUACAAAAAUCUAAAACAAGCAAAUGGUAAGCGAUUUUGGGUGAACCACUUGCAAAAUUGUAAAUGGAAAACAGUUUGAACAUUGAACUGCUUGCCAUUUGUAAAAAAAAACCGUUAAAAAUCUCACGCCUCCUUCUUCUCUCUCCCCUUUCCCCUUCAUUUCUCACGCUCUCUCUCCUCCCAUGCCUCACUUCUCUCUCUUAUCACCCCUCCAUUCUCACAACCUCUCCUUUCUCCAUCUCCUUCUCUUUCUUCUCUCAUCUCUUUUCUCAGCCUCCCUUCUUUCUAUUCUCACGCCUUACCACGACGAGUGACGACCAACGAGUGACGAGCGAGUAAAAUGAAGAAGGCGUUAGGGUUUAGUUUUUCCGGCUCAACGAGUUAAGGGUUGAGGAGUAGCAAUGGUGGUUGUCCGACGUCUGAGACAGAUACGGGUGAAUCGGGAUAGGGUGCUAGUAGUGGUGGUGAUACAGGUUAAGGUGGUGGCGGUGAUAGGUGGCAGGCGGUGGCGCGCGCGGCUGUUGGUGUGCAUGGUUGGUGGUAGAACGGAACAAGAGCAGAAAAUCAGAAAAUUAAGUUAUUUAUUAUAUAUUUACUGUAUUUAUUUUUUUGAUGAAAAUCAGAAAAUGUAAUUUUUUUUAAAGGAUCAGAAAAUGUAAUUUUGAAGCAAUUGAUUAAUGAAAAUAGUUAUGUUUAUACAUAUGUUAAGUUCUUGUGUAUCAAUUUAAUUGAAAAAAAAAAC